rnacentral:lncRNA from 1 species
UGUAAUCCAAUAUUGAUUUUGUUUUUAUUUCCUUAUUUGCUUAUUGGUUUUGUAGAAUACUUCUUUACUUAGAAUCAUCUACUAUCAAGUGAUAUUAUAAUAAAUCACUAUACUUAAAAAUCUUGCAAUAUAGUACUUCAGUUUCUCUCUCCCCAAUCAUCAUGUUAUUGUUGUUAAGCAUUUAAUUUUUACAUAUAUUAUAAACACCACACUGCAUUUUGGUCAUUUUUGCUUUGAAUGAUGAAUUAUAUUAUAAAAAAUAUUAAAGCCAUUAAAAAGCAUAUAUUUGCCCAUGUAGUCAGUUUUUAGUACUUUUCAUUCUUUUUUUUUGUAGAUCAGUAUUUCCAUCUGGUAUGAUUUCCCUCCUGUUUGCAGGAUUUCCUUUAGCAUAAUUUAUCAUGAGGAUCUGCUGGUGAUGAAUUCUUUGAUCUGUUGUAAGCGCCCCCCCCCCCCAAAGUCCUUAUUUUGCCUUUAGCUUUUAAAAGAUAUUUUACUUGGAUAUAGAGUUCUAAGUUGGUAGAUUCUUUCACCAUUUAAAGUUGUUACUUUAGUGUGUCUUUGCUUGCAUUCUUUCUGAGAAGUACAUUUUAAUCCUUACCUUUGCUCCUUUGUACUUAAUAUGUCUUUUUUAUUUGAUUGCUUUUAAGAUUUGAGCAUUUAAUUAUACUAUGGGGUUACUGAGCAGCUUAUAUUUGUAGGUUAGGAGCUUACGUCAGUUUGGAAUACUAUUAGCUAUUAAUUUUAAAUAUUUUUUUCUUCCUAUCCCCCUGACCUUCAGGGAUUACAAUACAAGUAUAUUAGGCUGAUAAAAGUUGACCUGUAGCUCACUGAGGCUGUGUUCAUUUUUUUAGUACCCCCCUCCUUCUGUUUUUCAUUUGGGACUGUUUAUAUUGCUAUGUUUGAGAUUCACUAAUCUUUUCCUUUGUAAGGCCUAAUC